UCCAGACUCCUACGGGAGGCAGCAGUGGGGGAUAUUGCACAAUGGGGGAAACCCUGAUGCAGCGACGCCGCGUGAGUGAAGAAGUAUUUCGGUAUGUAAAGCUCUCUCAGCAGGGAAGAAAAAAGACGGUACCUGACUAAGAAGCCCCGGCUAACUACGUGCCAGCAGCCGCGGUAAUACGUAGGGGGCAAGCGUUAUCCGGAUUUACUGGGUGUAAAGGGAGCGUAGACGGCAAUACAAGUCGGAAGUGAAAUACCCGGGCUCAACCUGGGAACUGCUUUGGAAACUGUAUGGCUGGAGUGCUGGAGAGGUAAGCGGAAUUCCUAGUGUAGCGGUGAAAUGCGUAGAUAUUAGGAGGAACACCAGUGGCGAAGGCGGCUUACUGGACAGUAACUGACGUUGAGGCUCGAAAGCGUGGGGAGCAAACAGGAUUAGAUACCCGGGUAC
rnacentral:rRNA from 1 species